rnacentral:miRNA from 1 species
GAGGGCGGGUGGAGGAGGA